GUAGGUGGCAAGCGUUGUCCGGAAUUAUUGGGCGUAAAGCGCGCGCAGGCGGUUCUUUAAGUCUGAUGUGAAAGCCCACGGCUCAACCGUGGAGGGUCAUUGGAAACUGGAGAACUUGAGUACAGAAGAGGAAAGCGGAAUUCCACGUGUAGCGGCGAAAUGCGUAGAGAUGUGGAGGAACACCAGUGGCGAAGGCGGCUUUCUGGUCUGUAACUGACGCUGAGGCGCGAAAGCGUGGGGAGCAAACAGGGAUUAGAUACCCUGGUAGUCCACGCCGUAAACGAUGAGUGCUAAGUGUUAGGGGGGUUUCCGCCCCCUUAGUGCUGCAGCUAACGCAUUAAGCACUCCGCCUGGGGAGUACGGCCGCAAGGCUG
rnacentral:rRNA from 1 species